CCUGGAUCUCUGCCUUAAUGUCUAGGGCGCUGCGUGUGAUCUCCCCCGCCAGAAACGUUCUCACCUCUGCUAACUGCUGGAGGAUUUGCGCGGUCGUGUCGCCAGUCUGUCCGGGCUGUCCCCUGUCUGUGUCUGCAGGUGGGGAGUGGGAGCCUCGUGUGCCCGUCCGGCAGCCAUGUUGUGCGGCCUGUGUGGCUUUGGAGGCCGCGAACAUGUCUGCCACAGUAGGGGAGGAAUCGAGCGGUUCCCCUCAUUUUUUCCUGCGUGGGGUGGCACUAGGACCCUUGUGGGGCAUGUAGGUG